rnacentral:rRNA from 1 species
CACGUAGGGUGCGAGCGUUAUCCGGAAUUAUUGGGCGUAAAGAGCUCGUAGGCGGUGUGUCGCGUCGGCCGUGAAAACCUGCAGCUUAACUGUGGGCUUGCGGUCGAUACGGGCAUCACUGGAGUUCGGCAGGGGAGACUGGAAUUCCUGGUGUAGCGGUGAAAUGCGCAGAUAUCAGGAGGAACACCGGUGGCGAAGGCGGCCCUCUGGACGGAUACUGACGCUGAGGCGCGAAAGCGUGGGGAUCAAACAGG